UUCACAUUCUUCACAACUCAGUGGCAGUUCUUCAAAUUAAAACUGAGGUGACUAUGUACAAUUUUUCAGGACUUUUCCUUACUUCAGCUAAAGACGGGGUUCUUGUCUGGCCCACGACCAUGAAAAUUUAGGUUCACAGAUGGUUUAAAGGGUACAAAUAGCAAGUUGAUGCAAAGAAAAAUAUAUAAAGUAAAUCAUGGAGAUUAUAUGUGAUUUGGCAAAGGUCAUGAAGGAUACCAUCGCUGAAACUAAACUUUGGAAUAAAUUAGUCUUAUCAAAUUACAAAGACCAGAGCCCUGCCAACCUCUGCAGAAUGCGGUCAUACUGCUCCCCCAUGGAAUGAAGUAUAGAACAAAUCUACCAAUCCUGAGAGAUUGCUGUGACUUUGAAUUCUGUGGAAUCUACACAUCAAUUUGAGGACAGCAGACAGCUUAACAAUGUUGUGUCUUCCAAAGAACAUAGUAUCUAUCUUCAUUUAUUCUGAUCCUCUUUAAUUGCUUUCAGCAGUAUUUGUCAUGGGUGAGGGUGAGAUGCUGUUCUGUGCUAUGUAGAAUGUUUAGCAGCAUAUUUGACCACUAGAUGCCCGUAGCACCUCCCCACCAAGUUGCCACAAUCAAAGUGACUCCAGGCAUUACAAAACAUCUUCUGUGGGGCAAAAUUACCCUUGAUUAAGAACCCCUGAACUAGAGAAAUAGAGAAAGUGUGGUAUUAACAAAACGAUAGCCAUAUUAAUCAGUGGCAAUGAAAAUUAUCAACUCUGUAUGCAAUAGCAAACAAAACAAGAACAAUAACUAAAACAACCUUCUAAAGGCUGUGGAAAGUUUUAAAAAAAGAAAAAGGUCAUAAAGAUUUUAGAGAGAAUAAACAUUUGUUGCAGUGUCAUUUCCCUGCUUUUGCUGUUUUUGCUGAAGUGCGGACUGCAGUUGAAGCACGACUCGAGGAAGGUGGAACCCCUGUGCAAAACUCAGCAUUUUACUGUCUAGGUUACCAGAGGAUGGACUAAGGGCACUCAUGGCCAUUGCAAAAGUAAAGGGGAGUCUCAGGAAAGAGAGAAACUGAGGAUGGCAACCCCAACUCCUAUGGACUGAAUUGUGUCUUCCCCAACCCCCAGUUGGUAUGUUGAAGCCCUAACCCUCAAAGUUCAAUAAAUCACACG
rnacentral:lncRNA from 10 species